ensembl:lncRNA
CAAUUACAAUAUAUAUAUAUAUAUAUAUAUGUAUUCUGAGAAACUAGCCCGUCUUAAUAUUUUAUGCAAUUAUGUUUCUCAAAUAUUGCUUGAUAUUUAUUUCUUACAAGAAAACAUACUUUUUACUAGACAAAAAUACUGAUUAAAAAAUUAUUUUUGCAUUAAUGUGCCUUGAAAUUCCCUUAUGACAGAAGAUAAGACAAUUGACAUUGUAAAAAGCCCAUGUAAAGAUGGUUCUGAGCUCACACUGCUGCACAGGGAGUAAAAUUUUAAUAUGGAAUAAAAUACUAAUGUAGUAGCUAUACCACAUUCUCAUGCACUGCCUGUCUUAAUUUCUCAGAGGAGUGUGACUGCAUACGAUCAUUUUUUUUUUUACUAUCUUUUUUCCCUUCCAACACAUUUUGGCAUUUUUUUUUUUUUGGAAGAGAAAUAUUCCCAGGAAUAAAAACUGUGACAACUUGCCCCAUCUCCCCUAUGUACAAUAUUACGGAUACUUGUAUUGAUUUAUUGGUCCUUUAUCUCCAUUGAUUCGUUAAGAGGAGACGGUACAGCGAUUUAUCAACGGCUCCAUCUGGGUUCAUCUGUCUGUAGUGCGUUUGUGAAGCGCCAUCCCUGCCUGCACUAAUUAGUGAAUCUGGGCACAGCCGUACAAAGAGGCCUUGGAUAGAUUCAGGGAGAGCUUCAGUAACCCAGCUCCACAAUCUGGCCUCUGUCCAGUUCUUCAAAAUUAAUUCAUGUUCCCUGAAGUAAUUAUAUAAGUGUGUUUGGUCCAUAUGGAGUUUUUCACAAUACACAUUUUAAUUAACGCAAUAAUUCAGAUCAAUUGUGCAAGACCUGGAUUAUUGCACCUUCAAUAAAAAGAAUGGCUGUUUUUUUUUUUGUUUGUUUGUUUUUGUUUUUUCGGCAGGAUGCGGGAUAUUGAGUUUGAACAGCCUGCAACAAAACUAUGCUUUCAUGUGAUUACAGUAAAAACAAAGUCUGUCUGUCUGUCUAUCUAUCAUCUGUAUGUCUCUAUCUAUCUAUCUAUCUAUCUAUCUAUCUAUCUAUCUAUCUAUCUAUCUAUCUAUCUAUCUAUCUAUCUAUCUAUCUGUACAUCCAUCAGUCUGUCUGUCUGUCUGUCUAUCUAUCAUCUGUCUGUCUGUCUCUAUCUAUCUAUCUAUCUAUCUAUCUAUCUAUCUCUCUAUCUAUCUAUCUAUCUGUCUGUCUGUCUGUCUGUCUGUCUCUGUCUGUCUACCUGUACAUCCAUCUGUCUGUCUGUCUGUCUAUCUAUCAUCUGUCUGUCUGUCUGUCUGUCUGUCUGUCAUUGUCUGUCUAUCCAUCCGUCCGUCGGUCCGUCCAUCUGUCAUCUAUCUAUCUAUCUAUCUAUCUAUCUAUCUAUCUAUCUGUCUAUCUGUCUGUCUGUCUGUCUGUCUGUCUGUCUGUCUAUCUAUCUAUCUAUCUAUCUAUCUAUCU